rnacentral:misc_RNA from 1 species
GUAUAUAUAAAAAAUUUGGGGAAUUUGGCAAAUAAAAGACAUACAAAAGAAAAUAAAUUUACACAUUUAGAGAGUUAACAUUUGCAAACUAAAACUAAAUAUGAGAGAAUUAAAACAAAAUUAAAAGGAAAAAUACAGAUGAAAAGAUGAAAACUAACCUAUGAGAGAUUAUUUCGUAAGGAUGAUUGAUUGACAAAUUUCUCUCUGUAUUUGAAAUGUGAAUUAU